rnacentral:misc_RNA from 1 species
GAUGAAUGAACGUAGCGAAAUGCGAUAAGUAAUGUGAAUUGCAGAAUUCAGUGAAUCAUCGAAUCUUUGAACGCACAUUGCGCCCCUUGGUAUUCCGAGGGGCAUGCCUGUUCGAGCGUCAUUAUAACCCUCAAGCUCAGCUUGGUGUUGGGGCCUGCUGCACUGGCAGCCCUUAAAAUCAGUGGCGGCGCCAUCUGGCUCUAAGCGUAGUAAUUCUUCUCGCUAUGGAGUCCUGGUGGAUGCUUGCCAUCAACCCCCAAUUUUUCUAUGGUUGACCUCGGAUCAGGUAGGGAUACCCGCUGAACUUAAGCAUAUCAAUAAGCGGAGGA